CCACCUAGACAUACGUUCGUUCAUCCAUACGUCAUGUGUGUGAUUCGCUUGAAGAUUUUCGUUAAUUGAAGGGAAAAACAUCGAGUGACGCGAUUGCUUCUUUGUGAAAGGAAAAUUUGUGAAAAUUUAAUUGGUGCAUAGAGAAUUGAUGAGUGAUUUGAGUAUAUAUUAUAAUAUAUAUAUUAUAAUAUAUGGUUCAGUGAGAUUUUGAGGAACCCCCAACAUCCGUUUCGGCGAUUGUCGUAGAUCCAUUAAGAUCGUUCAGUCUCAUACUGGAGGAAAUCGCCUGAAUCGUGGAUACCUGCGUUUCGGCUCGAUUCGCGGCUUCCUGCAUCGCUGCGAGUUUGUUCACCAAAUGGUGAUUACCGAGCAGAACAUUCUUUUCUUUCAAAACUUCUAAUUGAUUGAUGAAUCGACGGAAUUCUUCCUGAAACAUUCCAGAAAAGAAAGAAAGAAAAAAAAAAAAGAAACGAAGAGGAGACAUUAUUCCCAGUUUAGCUGCAUCAUUGGUAAAUCUGAUUUUCCGAUGUCUAUAUCAUAAUUAACGCGGCAUGGUGGGCUAUUAAUCGGCUUUUCACACAAUGGAUCUCGACGGUUCAACGCCUAUUAAUCGGUAUUUGCCUGCAUAGAAUGCCGAUAUAUGGGAGCCUUCCAGUACAGCUAAACGCGAUUAAUCUUAAAUAAAUUUUUACCUGCAGGUGAUGACUUGUAGGAAAUAAAAUAUAUGAUAAUUUAAAAUUUUGUCGAAAAUUUUCUUUAAAAAAGCUCUCUUCAUAUUAUACUCUUAAAAAACAUUGUAAAUCGAAAGAUGAGUAGAGAUAUAAAUAAACGAAAUAUCACAAAGGAUCUAUAAUAUAUCCACGAUGUGUGAAUAUUUGUUUAAUAUUUUAUAAAAAUAACAAAAGUGAUUUUAUUAUUUUCGAAUUAUUUUUUCUUUAUUAUUUUAUUAUCAGUUUAUUUAUCAUUUAUAUUUAUAAAAAAUACAAAAAAAAUUUUAUUUUAUUCGUGUUUGCUCACCAUAAUUUGAAAAGCUUAUAUAGGAGAUAGAUAUAAGGAGCGUGAUGACUGUCUAAAGGCAGGGAUUUAAUAUCGUGUAUACUAAGGAUUGAGAGGAGGAGCAUCCGACCUGUAGAGUUCGAUAACAGCAUAUUAGUCGGUCCUAUGAAAGGGGAGGCGCAAUUAAUGGAAGAUCAAGUGGUAGCUGGCUCAAUAGGCCUUUACUCUGCUAUAUCUUUGGCCAGGAAGGAAAAUAAUAAAACAUUCAAUAAGAAAAGAGAAACCUUGCGGAAGAUGACGAGCCAGAAAGUCUUUUUCAAGAGCACUUUUUCGUCUUCCAUGGUUAAGUAAAAAAAGAAAAAGAA